AGGUCUGGAAGCCUCCGGCCUCGCGAGCUGACCGCACGGCGAUGCUCCAGUGAAAACGCUCGUUUAAAUCUGGCGAAAAAAGAGCAGACGACGGCGCGCAUUUGCUUCGCUCGACGGCGCGAACUCGACGGAUCUCACUAUUGUCUGUACAUGAAAAUGAAGUUCAUCGGUGCUUCUCCUCGGAGGCGAGCUGUACCCGAUGGAUAUCACUUCCCCCUUUCACUUUCAAACACCAGCCGAGCCGAUGCGCCACUUCUCCCUGAUGCGUUCUCAUUUUAUGGAUUCUGAUAUGGACUAUGAGAGGCCAAAUGUCGAGACCAUCAAAUGUGUGGUUGUCGGGGACAAUGCGGUGGGGAAGACCCGCCUCAUCUGUGCUCGCGCCUGUAAUGCCACCCUCACCCAGUACCAGCUGCUGGCCACGCACGUGCCCACCGUCUGGGCCAUCGACCAGUACCGUGUGUGCCAGGAGGUGUGUUUCUCCAACCAGGUUCUAGAGCGUUCUCGGGAUGUGGUGGAUGAUGUCAGCGUGUCCCUACGUCUCUGGGAUACUUUCGGGGACCACCACAAGGACCGGCGCUUUGCGUACGGCAGGUCCGACGUGGUGGUGCUGUGCUUCUCCAUCGCCAACCCCAACUCGCUCCACCAUGUGAGGACCAUGUGGUACCCUGAGAUCAAACACUUCUGCCCCAGAGCACCAGUCGUCCUCGUGGGCUGUCAGCUGGACCUCAGAUACGCCGACCUGGAGGCGGUGAACCGGGCCCGGCGCCCGCUGGCCAGACCCAUAAAAUCCAACGAGAUCUUGCCACCAGAGAAGGGCCGCGAGGUGGCCAAAGAGCUCGGCGUCCCGUAUUACGAGACCAGCGUCGUCGCCCAGUUUGGCGUGAAAGACGUUUUCGACAACGCCAUCCGCGCCGCCCUCAUUUCGCGUCGCCACCUGCAGUUCUGGAAGUCCCACUUGCGCAACGUCCAGAGGCCUCUCCUCCAAUCCCCGUUCCUUCCUCCUAAACCGCCUCCGCCCAUCGUCACAGUCCCCGCCCCUCCCAGCAGCACCGAGGAGCACCCGGGCCGCCUCCUGGAGGACCCGCUGUGCUCGGACGUGGUUCUGGUCCUGCAGGGGCGCCAGCGCAUCUUCGCGCACCGCGUAUACCUGGCCACCGCCUCCUCCAAGUUCUACGACCUCUUUGUCGCGGAGCGGCGGACGCCCGAAGACGGCAGGGCGGAGCGGGAGCGUACCCGCCCGCCGCUGUCCGGCCGCGAGCUGCUGAUGCGUGCGGCCAGCUUCGACGUCUGCGAGACCGGCGACGAGCGGGACCGGGCGAACCUGCGGGCGUGCACCAGCGACGGGACGCUGCGGGGCGGGGACGGGGACCGUGGGGGCACCGGCCGCCUGCUCCCCGCCUUCAGCCGUGCCUUCGUCGACGUCCAGGAGGAGAUGGUGGACGACCCGGUGACCCUUAACCCCAGGCAGAUGACGGUGGUGCACAUGGACCCAUCCAUGCAGCCAGGGCCAUUCCGCGCUGUCCUGCGCUACCUGUACACGGGGAAGCUGCAUGAGAAGGAGCAUGAGCUCAUGCAGGUGGCCCACAUCGCCGAGCUGCUGGAGGUGUUCGACCUGCGCAUGAUGGUGGCCAACAUCCUGAAUGACGAGGCCUUCAUGAACCAGGAGAUCACCAAGGCCUUCCACGUCAGACGCACCAACCGGGUCAAGGAGUGCCUGGCCAAGGGGACCUUCUCAGAUGUCGUAUUCAAGCUGGAUGACGGUACAAUAAUGGCCCAUAAACCUUUGCUCAUCUCCAGCUGUGACUGGAUGGCGGCCAUGUUUGGUGGACCUUUCGUAGAGAGCUGCACUAAAGAGGUUUUGUUUCCGAACACCACGCGCAGCUGCAUGCGCGCGGUUCUGGAGUACCUUUACACUGGCUGCUUCUGUUCCCGCCCAGACCUGGACGCCAUGGAGCUUAUUGUCCUCGGCAACCGUCUCUGUCUGCCUCACCUGGUGGCGCUAACAGAGCUGUAUACUGUUACUGUGCUCAUGGAAGCUGCUAUGAUGGGCACCGAUAUAGACGGAGAUGUGCUGGUUUAUCUGGAAAUGGCUCAGUUUCACGGAGCCCAUCAGCUGGCUGGAUGGUGCCUCCAUCACAUCUGCACCAACUACAACAGCGUGUGCCGCAAGUUUCCUCGUGACAUGAAGGCCAAGUCUGCAGAGAACCAGGAGUACUUUGAGAAGCACCGCUGGCCCCCGGUGUGGUAUCUGAAAGAAGACGACCAUUACCAGCGGGCACGCAAGGAGCGCGAGAAAGAGGAUUAUUUGUACCAGAAGCGACAGUGUAAGCGCAAGUGGCUCUUCUGGAACCUUCCAUCCUCGCCCUCCUCCACUUCGCCAUCCUCUCCUGGCUCCUCGGCUGUCAUGUGAUGGGCCGCCGGGUUGUAGGCCCGCUCACGCCACCCUGAGGCAGGAUGCAAACGCCACCAUUUUGGCUCAAACGGACGGGCCCCUCUGCCCGCCAGCCAGCUGCAGAGUAGAGAGUGGAGAAGCCAGAGAGCGGCACUUGGGAGAGAAUGAGUGUACUUCCCCAGAGAGACGCGUCUGACGUCAUUGGAGACUCCUGUGGUUUGUUGGCACCCUGCUACGUCUGGUUAUGAGAACCAGGCUGCUCUGAUUUUGAUGUGCCGUUAAGAUGAAUCGCAUUCAUUGGCUUUUAGGGAGAACUUUAAGUAGAGCCAGAAAUGACACUGUCAUUGGGCAAGUGAUGAUCACUGAAGCCUGGCUUGACUACAUGAUCUUCACUUCUUUCCAGUGUGUGGACUGCACCUGCGCAUAAAUGUCUCACCACGCUAAUGUGGACAUAUGGUCGCAACUCUCGCACGCUGAUGGAGGUGGAGCAAGGAAAUGUAUUUUUCUGAAGUUGGCAGCGGUCCAUUGGCAUCUUGGAGAUGUUGUUGUCCAGUGGAAACAGUGCAUUUCCAGUGCAUACCAACGUAUGGGGAACGUGGAGGUCGCUGUGUCCUGAACGCUACAGCACGGUUCAGGACUGCUCGGAGCUCACGCCAACCUCCAGGAGUCAGAAAAUGCACAGAUGAUAACACUCAAUGUACAAACUAAACCAAAUGCAACAAUUUUCAAAACGAUGUUUUCCUUGGACAGCAAUUGUUUAGAACAGGUCAACACAUUUAGGAAUUUCUCAGUCCCUCUUAAUCCAUGUGUGCUGCUGCACAGAAUACACACCCCAUGCCUUAAUGUAAAGUGACAUUAAAGAGUUCUUGCAACUCUGUACUCUGUGUUUGUACUGAAACCAUGGAGCGGCUUAGCACAUGUUGCACACCUUGUAUGUAUUCAUUGUAUACUGGAGGUAUCCGUACUGUACCAUGACAGAGUGAUUUUGCUUUACCGGAGUUCUUUGGGGUGUUUUUGCUGCGUUUGUGUUCCUAGUUGGCUUUAUAAACAAAGCACUUUAGAGCUGAUGAAUUGCAUUGUGUCAUUGUCAUGAAUGUACCAAUAUGAAUUUUGCUUUUCCAGACCUCAGAGCUUAGUAGGUGUCUCUUCCCCCCGGACCACCAAACCCACGCAGGGAUUUCCACUCUGUGUGCGCGUUACUGCUGUUGACUCGGUUUUGUUAAAAUGCUGUGUAGCACUCUACAGCUCACUUAUAUGACGUUGAGUGUCACAUGGGGAUGUCUGGCUAGGUCCAUGUUGUAGACUUCCUGAUUCCCGUGCCCAGUUCAUCAUAUCGUAGAAUCCUGUGCCCAGCUGCUUUGUUUAACCCUCAGUUAUCGCUGGCGAUAACAAAAAGCAUGUAUUUUUUAUCAUAUUAAUUAAAUGUAGAUUUUAUAUAUAUAUAUUCAGGCUCCACAGGUUUAGCAAUAUCUGCCCCAGUUUUUCUCCCAAGUCUGAUGCAGUCAAUCAGCCAAGAUGUGUUUUGUUAAUCUUCGACACACAAAAAGACAAAAGUACACACAGAUUUCUGUAUCAUGAUGACUGCUGCUUCUACUGUCUUUAGCUAUGCGACCUUUGUCCAUUUUUAUUAAUGACACCAUAUCCUGCAGUUUCAGAAACCACGUGAGCAGCUCCACCUGAGAUUACCCAUUAGCUUGAUUGCAUUUGAGGGAAGUGCGCUUAUUUUUGCAUGCAGUUUGCAUGAUUCCAGUUGGCAGUCAUAAGCACCUUAUCCAUGUUAUCAUUGUAGCUUCAGUAAGAACCUAAAUAAUCAAACAUGGCUUGGUUGAUUCACUUUUGGUUAUGGGGAAAACUGUAAUGUGGAUUUUUCCUGAAUUAUAUGUAUAACGUAAUAAAAUAGGUUCCAACACUAUGCAGCAUAAAGUAGAGGAUGUACACUGGGCCCUCCAAAGCAACCGUGCACUCCAGUGUAGUGUUUUUAAACACUACACGAUGCCUGCUUGUGUUUAUCACACUAACACUAAAAUAAAUAAAUAAAUAAAUACCGAGGGAAGAAUGAACAAGUGAACUGUGGAUUAACUGGUCCAAAACCUCUGGCGCGCACUCUCAUGUUUUUGGUGCUAAAGUUCCAUCGCUGCAAUGAAGCACAAACCAAAGGGUUAAAUUUGAACCGCCAAGAGACGUGUUGUUACAGCACAACUACAAUUACACACAGUCGAGACAUCCUUGAAGUUAAACAACUGAGUACACAACAUGAAUGUUUAGAAGCCUGUUUACACAAUUUCUUGUCAUCAGGCAACAUUUGUUUCUGGUUUGGAGUGGGGGAGUUUAUAUCAGUAAAUGGAAAUCUGAAAUUGUAGCAUGUGUUGUUGAAAUGUGUAAAUAGUGUUUAUUUAAUAAACUUGAAUUAGCAGAUGCAAAUGUGUUUUCUGUAGUUUUCCUUAGCUUGUGAGGCUAUGUAACAAACAGGCUAAAAACGAAACCCCCGGGCCCUGGAGGUUAAUUGGAAGUAAAAGCAUGUUUUUUUCAUACCUAUGUCAGUCUAAGUUUAACUGGUUUUAAUGUUAUGGAUGCCGAGAACAUCUUAACAAAAACGCACACAAGUCCAGUGAUA